UACGUAGGGAGCGAGCGUUAUCCGGAUUCAUUGGGCGUAAAGCGCGCGUAGGCGGUGCUGUAAGCGGAACCUCUAAUCUGAGGGCUCAACCCCCAGCCGGGUUCCGAACUGCAGCACUCGAGUGUGGUAGGGGUGGAUGGAAUUCCCGGUGUAGCGGUGAAAUGCGCAGAUAUCGGGAAGAACACCGAUGGCGAAGGCAGUCCACUGGGCCAUCACUGACGCUGAGGUGCGAAAGCGUGGGGAGC
rnacentral:rRNA from 1 species